rnacentral:rRNA from 1 species
GACGAACCGUACGAACGUUAUUCGGAAUCACUGGGCUUAAAGGGUGCGUAGGCGGCGCAGUAAGUUGGGUGUGAAAUCCCUCGGCUUAACCGAGGAAUUGCGCCCAAAACUACUGUGCUCGAGGGAGGUAGAGGUGAGCGGAACUUAGGGUGGAGCGGUGAAAUGCGUUGAUAUCCUAAGGAACACCGGUGGCGAAGGCGGCCUGCUGGGCAGUUACUGACACUGAGGCGCGACAGCGUGGGGAGCAAACAGG